rnacentral:rRNA from 1 species
AUUGAACGCUGGCGGCAGGCCUAACACAUGCAAGUCGAGCGGAUGAAGGGAGCUUGCUCCUGGAUUCAGCGGCGGACGGGUGAGUAAUGCCUAGGAAUCUGCCUGGUAGUGGGGGAUAACGUCCGGAAACGGGCGCUAAUACCGCAUACGUCCUGAGGGGGAAAGUGGGGGAUCUUCGGACCUCACGCUAUCAGAUGAGCCUAGGUCGGAUUAGCUAGCUGGUGGGGUAAAGGCCUACCAAGGCGACGAUCCGUAACUGGUCUGAGAGGAUGAUCAGUCACACUGGAACUGAGACACGGUCCAGACUCCUACGGGAGGCAGCAGUGGGGAAUAUUGGACAAUGGGCGAAAGCCUGAUCCAGCCAUGCCGCGUGUGUGAAGAAGGUCUUCGGAUUGUAAAGCACUUUAAGUUGGGAGGAAGGGCAGUAAGUUAAUACCUUGCUGUUUUGACGUUACCAACAGAAUAAGCACCGGCUAACUUCGUG